UACGUAGGGUGCAAGCGUUGUCCGGAAUUAUUGGGCGUAAAGAGCUCGUAGGCGGUUUGUUGCGUCGGCUGUGAAAUCCCGAGGCUCAACCUCGGGUCUGCAGUCGAUACGAGCAAACUAGAGUGUUGCAGGGGAGACUGGAAUUCCUGGUGUAGCGGUGAAAUGCGCAGAUAUCAGGAGGAACACCGGUGGCGAAGGCGGCGGUCUGGGCCGGAACUGACGCUGAGGAGCGAAAGCGUGGGGAGCGAACAGG
rnacentral:rRNA from 1 species